AGCAGGUUGCAGGCAGGGAACAACAGCAGCAGGGAACAACAGAGGGAGGCAGUAGGCUGCCAAAAUUGCAGCAGAGACAUCAUGGUUGAGAAAUUUAAGAUAUGCAUCCAACAUGACAAAGAUCAGCUCAGCAAUACAUUUUCUUAUCUGGUUAAGUAUCUCCGGCAGUAUUCCAAGAAGCAGCUGGAAACUGAGUCAAAGAGAAGGACAACAACAUGAAUGAGUUGUUCUCUAGUGUUUUACUUUUUUAGGCGGCGGGCGGAAUUAGACAUCCACAUUAAAAUACCUUCUGCAAGCCUUA